rnacentral:rRNA from 1 species
UGCAUGUCUAAGUACAUGCCGUAUUAAGGCGAAACCGCGAAUGGCUCAUUAAAUCAGUUAUGGUUCCUUGGAUCGUACUGUACUACUUGGAUAACUGUGGCAAUUCUAGAGCUAAUACAUGCAGCAGAGCUCCGACCUUCGGGGACGAGCGCUUUUAUUAGACCAAAACCAAUCGGACCUCGUGUCCGUCCUUCGUGGUGACUCUGUAUAACUUUGGGCUGAUCGCACGGGCCCGUCCCGGCGACGUAUCUUUCAAGUGUCUGCCUUAUCAACUUUCGAUGGUAGGUUACGCGCCUACCAUGGUCAUAACGGGUAACGGGGAAUCAGGGUUCGAUUCCGGAGAGGGAGCCUGAGAAACGGCUACCACAUCCAAGGAAGGCAGCAGGCGCGCAAAUUACCCACUCCCGGAACGGGGAGGUAGUGACGAAAAAUAACAAUACGGGACUCUUUUGAGACCCCGUAAUUGGAAUGAGUACACUCUAAAUCCUUUAACGAGGAUCUAUUCGAGGGCAAGUCUGGUGCCAGCCGCCGCGGUAAUUCCAGCUCGAAUAGCGUAUAUUAAAGUUGUUGCGGUUAAAAAGCUCGUAGUUGGAUCUCAGUUCCGGACGGGUGGUCCGCCAAACGGUGGUUACUGCCCGUUCUGAACAGCCAGCCGGUUUCUCUUGAUGAUCUUCACCGGUUGUCUCGUGCGACCGGCAAGUUUACUUUGAAAAAAUUAGAGUGCUCAAAGCAGGCGCGACGCCUGAAUAAUGGUGCAUGGAAUAAUGGAAUAGGACCUCGGUUCUAUUUUGUUGGUUUUCGGAGCACGAGGUAAUGAUUAAGAGGGACAGACGGGGGCAUUCGUAUUGCGACGCUAGAGGUGAAAUUCUUGGACCGUCGCAAGACGAACUACUGCGAAAGCAUUUGCCAAGAAUGUUUCCGUUAAUCAAGAACGAAAGUUAGAGGUUCGAAGGCGAUCAGAUACCGCCCUAGUUCUAACCAUAAACGAUGCCAGCCAGCGAUCCGGCUGUGUUCCUCAAAUGACACGCCGGGCAGCUUCCGGGAAACCAAAGCUUUUGGGUUCCGGGGGAAGUAUGGUUGCAAAGCUGAAACUUAAAGGAAUUGACGGAAGGGCACCACCAGGAAUGGAGCCUGCGGCUUAAUUUGACUCAACACGGGGAAACUUACCCGGCCCGGACACAGGAAGGAUUGACAGAUUAAGAGCUCUUUCUUGAUUCUGUGGGUGGUGGUGCAUGGCCGUUCUUAGUUG